rnacentral:tRNA from 1 species
GCCACCAUAGCUCAGCUGGUAGAGCACUCGCUUCGUAAGCGAUAGGUCGCCGAUUCAAUUUCGGCUGGUGGCU